rnacentral:rRNA from 1 species
GGCUCGGCAGGCCGGUCCGCCUCACCGCGUGCACUGGUCCCGCCGGGCCUUCCCUCCGGGGAACCGCAUGCCCUUCGCUGGGCGUGUCGGGGAACCGGGACGUUUACUGUGAAAAAAUUAGAGUGUUCAAAGCAGGCCUAUGCUCGAAUACAUUAGCAUGGAAUAAUAGAAUAGGACUUU